UACGGGGGGGGCAAGCGUUGUUCGGAAUUACUGGGCGUAAAGGGCUCGUAGGCGGCCAACUAAGUCGGACGUGAAAUCCCUCGGCUUAACCGGGGAACUGCGUCCGAUACUGGAUGGCUCGAGUGUGGGAGAGGGAUGCGGAAUUCCAGGUGUAGCGGUGAAAUGCGUAGAUAUCUGGAGGAACACCGGUGGCGAAGGCGGCGUCCUGGACCAACACUGACACUGAGGAGCGAAAGCCAGGGGAGCAAACGGG
rnacentral:rRNA from 1 species